rnacentral:rRNA from 1 species
UACGAAGGGUGCAAGCGUUAAUCGGAAUUACUGGGCGUAAAGCGUGCGCAGGCGGUUAUAUAAGACAGAUGUGAAAUCCCCGGGCUCAACCUGGGAACUGCAUUUGUGACUGUAUAGCUGGAGUACGGUAGAGGGGGAUGGAAUUCCGCGUGUAGCAGUGAAAUGCGUAGAUAUGCGGAGGAACACCGAUGGCGAAGGCAAUCCCCUGGACCUGUACUGACGCUCAUGCACGAAAGCGUGGGGAGCAAACAGGAUUAGAAACCCGGAGUCUCG